CCUACGGGAGGCAGCAGUGGGGAAUCUUGCGCAAUGGGCGAAAGCCUGACGCAGCCAUGCCGCGUGUAUGAUGAAGGUCUUAGGAUUGUAAAAUACUUUCACCGGUGAAGAUAAUGACUGUAGCCGGAGAAGAAGCCCCGGCUAACUUCGUGCCAGCAGCCGCGGUAAUACGAAGGGGGCUAGCGUUGCUCGGAAUUACUGGGCGUAAAGGGAGCGUAGGCGGACAUUUAAGUCAGAGGUGAAAUCCCGGAGCUUAACUUCGGAACUGCCUUUGAUACUGGGUGUCUUGAGUGUGAGAGAGGUAUGUGGAACUCCGAGUGUAGAGGUGAAAUUCGUAGAUAUUCGGAAGAACACCAGUGGCGAAGGCGACAUACUGGCUCAUUACUGACGCUGAGGCUCGAAAGCGUGGGGAGCAAACAGGAUUAGAUACCCUGGUAGUCCACGCCGUAAACGAUGAUUGCUAGUUGUCGGGAAGCUUGCUUCUCGGUGACGCAGCUACGACAUAGACACUCCGCCGUGGGAGGUACGGUCGCGAGAUAAACUACAANAGAGUAGACGCGNGAGACGNGCGACGACGACGACGAGGGAGAGG
rnacentral:rRNA from 1 species